GCGGUGGAGCAUGUGGUUUAAUUCGAAGCAACGCGAAGAACCUUACCAGGUCUUGACAUCCCGAUGCUAUUUCUAGAGAUAGAAAGUUACUUCGGUACAUCGGUGACAGGUGGUGCAUGGUUGUCGUCAGCUCGUGUCGUGAGAUGUUGGGUUAAGUCCCGCAACGAGCGCAACCCCUAUUGUUAGUUGCCAUCAUUCAGUUGGGCACUCUAGCGAGACUGCCGGUAAUAAACCGGAGGAAGGUGGGGAUGACGUCAAAUCAUCAUGCCCCUUAUGACCUGGGCUACACACGUGCUACAAUGGUUGGUACAACGAGUUGCGAGUCGGUGGCGGCGAGCUAAUCUCUUAAAGCCAAUCUCAGUUCGGAUUGUAGGCUGCAACUCGCCUACAUGAAGUCGGAAUCGCUAGUAAUCGCGGAUCAGCACGCCGCGGUGAAUACGUUCCCGGGCCUU
rnacentral:rRNA from 1 species